GACGAACCGAGCGAACGUUGUUCGGAAUCACUGGGCUUAAAGGGCGCGUAGGCGGGCAUCCAAGUCCGUGGUGAAAUCCGGCAGCUCAACUGUCGAACUGCCGCGGAUACUGGGUGUCUCGAGGGAGGUAGGGGCGUGCGGAACUAUUGGUGGAGCGGUGAAAUGCGUUGAUAUCAAUAGGAACUCCGGUGGCGAAGGCGGCACGCUGGACCUUUUCUGACGCUGAGGCGCGAAAGCCAGGGGAGCAAAGCGGG
rnacentral:rRNA from 1 species